AGUGAACGCUGGCGGUAGGCCUAACACAUGCAAGUCGAACGGCAGCACAGUAAGAGCUUGCUCUUACGGGUGGCGAGUGGCGGACGGGUGAGGAAUACAUCGGAAUCUACUUUUUCGUGGGGGAUAACGUAGGGAAACUUACGCUAAUACCGCAUACGACCUACGGGUGAAAGCAGGGGAUCUUCGGACCUUGCGCGAUUGAAUGAGCCGAUGUCGGAUUAGCUAGUUGGCGGGGUAAAGGCCCACCAAGGCGACGAUCCGUAGCUGGUCUGAGAGGAUGAUCAGCCACACUGGAACUGAGACACGGUCCAGACUCCUACGGGAGGCAGCAGUGGGGAAUAUUGGACAAUGGGCGCAAGCCUGAUCCAGCCAUACCGCGUGGGUGAAGAAGGCCUUCGGUUGGUAAAGCCCUUUUGUUGGGAAAGAAAAGCAGCAGGUUAAGACCCCGCUGUUCUGACGGUACCCAAAGAAUAAGCACCGGCUAACUUCGU
rnacentral:rRNA from 1 species